rnacentral:rRNA from 1 species
AAGGAUCAUUAGAAAGUAAUUAUUUGAGUUUUCAACAUUCACCUGCUGAACUCUCAAAAAAUCUCUCUAUAUCUUUCUGUGAACAUGUUUUCAUAAGAGGAUGUUGGGCCAUUCGGUCGAAAGGUUGGUUGGCCAAGCAUUUGAACUAUAAACCUCCAUUUUAUAUUUGAUGUCUGAUUUAUAUUUAACUAAAUGUUAAAACUUUCAGCAAACGGAUCUCUUGGCUCUCGCAUCGAUGAAGAACGCAGCGAAAUGCGAUACGUAAUGUGAAUUGCAGAAUUCCGUGAAUCAUCGAAUCUUUGAACGCACAUUGCGCCUUUGGGUUAUUCCCAAAGGCAUGCCUGUUUGAGUGUCAUUACAUUCUUCUUAAAUCUAACUUUAUGUUAUGGUUUAAGGUGUUGAACUAUAAUCGCGAAAGCAGAUUUGGUUUUAAAUUUAAAGGUAGAUUAUGGAGAUGCUUCAGCAAUUCGUUAAGCACGCAUAUUCAUAUUUGAACGUAAUAGGUUUUACCAACUCGUUCAAGUUCAUUGAUUGUGUUGUGUGAGUUGCUAUAGUAAGCAUUAUCGAACUAAUCCUUAAUGUCUUUCGAGACUACAUUCAUUUGAAUGUACUCCUUUGUUUGACCUCAGAUCAGGUAGGACUACGCGCUGAACUUAA